GAUGAACGCUGACAGAAUGCUUAACACAUGCAAGUCAACUUGAACUUCGGUUUGGGUGGCGGCCGGGUGAGUAACGCGUAAAGAACUUGCCUCACAGCUAGGGACAACAUUUGGAAACGAAUGCUAAUACCUGAUAUUAUGAUUAUAUGGCAUCGUAUAAUUAUGAAAGCUAUAUGCGCUGUGAGAGAGCUUUGCGUCCCAUUAGCUAGUUGGAGAGGUAACAGCUCACCAAGGCGAUGAUGGGUAGCCGGCCUGAGAGGGUGAUCGGCCACAAGGGGACUGAGACACGGCCCUUACUCCUACGGGAGGCAGCAGUGGGGAAUAUUGGACAAUGGACCGAGAGUCUGAUCCAGCAAUUCUGUGUGCACGAUGAAGUUUUUCGGAAUGUAAAGUGCUUUCAGUUGGGAAGAAAAAAAUGACGGUACCAACAGAAGAAGUGACGGCUAAAUACGUG
rnacentral:rRNA from 1 species